GCUCUCUUUCUUUAUUUAGCUGCCCAACCAGUAGUCUACAAUCUACAUCUUUGAGCUAGGCUCAGGCUCCUUUCUCUCUCUCUCAAAAGCCCACGCUUUUUUCAGCUCUCUGUCCCUCUCUUGCGAGUCUGAAACCGAGUGCAGAGUUAUGAGGCGGCUUGCACAGAGAGAUGAUUGUGUUUAAAUAUUAAAACUACCAUUUUACCCAUGCGAUAGUUACAUAAUUGUGGUGAGG
rnacentral:misc_RNA from 1 species